CGUACGCUCGGCCAAUCGCACAGCUGUGGCGCUGCUCACCCCAUCCCCGCGAACGGUCGGAUCCAUCCUCCUCCCCCCACCACCCCGCCUUGCCACCUCCCUUGUCGUCGCUGCCUCCUCGAUCCAUUACCGUCAUAGCCUCUUUCCUCCUCCCAUACACCACGUCGCAGUCUGCUCCCCUCCUCCACCGCCUCCUCCCACUGUGUUAGCGCCGCGCAACACAGAGCUCAAGCUCGCGCACGGAGAUGCAGAGACGCGGCCCCACAUCUCCCCGCUCCUCCCUCUGUGGCGGCCCGGCGUGGCCCCACCUCUUUCCAGCUCCGGCGCAAGCCCGCGCAGGCAGAUGUGGUGGCGCAGUCCAAUGGGGCUGCGGGUGGCGCGGGCCCUCCCCUCCCCUGCUGCACGCGGCACAUCUGGGGCCACUACGGUGCCCGGGAUGCAGCGCGAGAUGGCAGUGCGAAGGGCUAAGGGCGAUGUGGGACGGCGGCGCGGAGCAGCCGGCGGUCGCACAGGAUGGUGACGCAUUUCAUUGACAGUGGUAAGCAACAUGUUAUUCUGUCUAGGUAUAACGGUACAAUUUAUUAAGCAAUUUUAUUAAGUAUCUUAGGAUUCUCCCAGUUGGCAAUAAUAUUGUUCUACCUAGGCAUAAUAGUACAAUUCAUUAAGCAACUUUUUGCCCAUCGAUCUUGAGGCCUCGCUGAAGCUGGUCUCCUCCUUAGAGUCCAUGGACGUCAAUGCCCCGGCCUCGGCAAGCAAGGAGCCUCAAGAAUCAGGUGCUGCUCGCCUGCUCUGGCAUCGCUGUUGUCACGGUGCAGGACACCAAGCAGAUCGAAGGUACGCCGGGUGAUUUUGUGUUUGUUUCCAUUUUACUUCUGAUCUUGAUUGCACAUUCCUGUUAGCUUCUAUAACUCCAGCUAUUCCUGUUAGCUUCUAUAACUCCAGCUAUUUGUUUUGUAUACCUUAUUGCCUGUAGUACAUCUUGUAAAUUGGUAAUGCAACAAUUUUUGGCAUGUAUUAGUAUGUCAGUUUGAUCUGCUAGGCCCCUGAAUCUUGAAUUCAUGGGGGAAUUCCAUCCUGAUUUCAUAUGCUAAUGGGUUAGCAGAUAAGCUGACUGCAGGUGGAUCCUUUGGCAUUGAAUGACAUGAUGGUAACGAAUUAAUCAUGUUUCAAUUUGUUCAAUCUAGCACAGGUGCAAACACCAUUGCACACACGCUUUGAAACGAGCAGCAGAAACAUCCCAUCCUGGAGGAUGUGAACUGAAACACCAUAUGGAGCCACAUCGGCCGGGGCUACAUCCCGUGCCUCUCUGGUCAUGGAUCCACCCGGUGGCUCGAAGCUAACUAGGAAGAAAAGCAGAUUCAACCUCCACACAACCACAAUGCCAACAACCUCCAAUCUGCACCACCCCGCCACCACCGUAACCAUAUACCUGGCUUCGGUGUGUAUCCUGCCGUGACCCCUUGCUCUGGUGUUGGUCUUGCCGACGAUGGAGUUUGGCGUCCGGCAGUAGCCACGGCAAGCAUGGAGGAUCCAAAGGAGCAGAUUGUAAUUUCUAUUUUUUAGGGUCUUCUAUGCAAAGUUGACUGGACAUCUGUCCACAUCUGUCCAUCUAGCCUAUCAUAUUAAUAUUAAUACAGGUAAAUUACCAAACAAAAAAAAACUUUAGUUGAUUAUUGACCCAUUUGUACAAUAUGUAACUUACUACUAUAUAUCGGCCUGUUUGGUU